UACCAAUCAGCGUUCGUUUCCUUCCUGCUCAUCGCGAGAGCAUGGUGCUGAUUGAAGCGCUGCAGUGACCUCAUCCCUCCAGCAGCUGCUGCGACGCGGACCUGUUUUCCUGCAACUUUCUAUCAACUUCCAAGUUGAACAAUCGCAAAAGGAAGCAGACACUUGGAGUAAGCGGGACAUCGCAUAAGAAAAUACAAUAAUACUAUUAUUAUUAUUAUUUUUUACGUUUUCGUGGUGAAAAUCUAAAAAGUCGACUCGCACUUUAUUUUUCGUUGCCAAACAUUGUGAUAGCAGUUUUCCCUGGAAUCUGUGUCUUAGAACGGCGGAGGUGGGGAGAAGAAAGGUGUCUGACUGCAGCAGACAGCAGGAGGUGGAAGAUGUUUCUGUGUAAAAAGACCUAAACGUCUCCAUUUACACUCCAGAUGAUAGCAACAGAUGAUGGCAGAUCAUCCUGAGAGACUGACACACACAGGACAGGAGAAUGUACCAGACACUGACACCUUUUAGUUCACCUUGCCCACCAGAGACCGAAGCAGCAUGCAGACCUGAGAACCAGCACUAGCUACAACAUUCUGUCCGUCCUCCUCCAGUCCUCCCUGCCACCAAUGCUCUGUGAGGCUCUCUAUCCUCUCCUCUCCCUGGGCAUAAUGAUCCAUCUCUACUGCUGAGCCCCACCUUACCCCCUAACCUUACCCCACCAUGACCAGUCUGAAGCGGUCUCAGACGGAGCGUUCGGUGGGCGGCUCGGUACCUGCCUCUGAUGAAUUCUACACUCGUCGUCUGCGCCUCCCCAACGGUGGCGCCCCCCCACCUCGCUCCGAGAGCGCCCACCUCACCUCCUCUUCCUCGUCUGGCUCCUCUUCAUCCUCCACCCCGGGGGUUCCCAAGAUGGGGGUCAGGGCCCGCGUGGCAGACUGGCCCCCCAAAAGGGACGGAACGGGUGGAGUGUGGCACAUCACCGUAGAUACGGACUCUCCAAGUUCUACCAUGUCAUCUUCAGGUGGCGGAGAACGCGGGUCGGGCGGAGAACGCGGGUUGGGAGGAGAACGUGGGUCGGGAGGAGAAAGAGAACGAGAGCGGAGCUCGGGUUCAGGCUCGGCGCCCACGGCCCAUAGCAACCUGUCGGCUAAACUGGGCCACCUGAUCAGCCCUCAGGACUCGUCGAUGCUCCGGAACAUCCACAACACCCUGAAGAGCAAGAUGCACCACAGCAGACAUCACAGCAAAGACAACCGCUACCUGUCGCCAGACGGCUACCAGGGCUCGCCACGUAAAGGCAUGAGGCGUAUCCGCCAGCGCUCCAACAGUGACAUCACUAUCUCUGAGCUGGAGGGUGACGGGGGCGAGGGCUGGUCCUUCUCUGGCUGGACGCCCAUGCACCGAGAGUACGGAAGCACCUCCUCCAUAGACAAACAUACAGGCUCAGGGGAAAGCUUCUUCGAUAUGCUCAAGGGUUAUACAUCCCAGGAUGCUCCAGACCAGCGCAGCCCAGCACCGGACAGACUCGGGGAGCUGCUGACGGUCGCCCCGCACAAACAGGCUGCCUUAGAUCUUCCUGAUGGACCCCUGGGUACUGCCAGAGGUAGCCCCGCCAGUCGCCUGAAGGAAAGGGAGAAACACCUCAAGAGGAGAUCCAAGUCGGAGACGGGCGGGGAGUCCAUCUUCCGGAAGCUUCGUAGCGUCAAGGCCGAGGGCGACUCGUCCCGUGCCGGAUCAGACAUAGAAGACGGGGGGCGGGAGGACGGUAACAGCCCCAAACCCUGGACCUGUCAGAAGGGCUUCGCCCACUUUGACGUGCAGAGUAUCCUCUUUGACCUCAACGAGGCCAUCCAGGGACGACAGUCCGGUGGGAAACGCAAGAACACCACCACAGGAGCUUCUGCUGCCGCCGCCGCCUCGGCCUCUGCCACUUCCUCCCUCUCGUCCAAUCAGAGCGGAGUAUACGGUGGGGGCGGGUCUCCGUGCGGGUCGCAGGAGGAGCUAAGUGGGAAGGAGGGGUGUCCGGGUACAGGAGGGGGACAUGGCACUAACCCUGCCCUGGAUCCUGGGGAUGACAAGAGCAAUGAACUGGUGCUGAACUGUCCCUGUUUCAGGAAUGAACUGGGAGGAGAGGGAGAAAGGAACAUCAGCCCUUCUAAACAGCAGGGUAGUAUAGGCAGUGGAGGGAGCUCUGGGGGGGGAGGUGGCUCAGAGGAGGGGCCCCUGGAGACCACUCUCCCCCACUUCACCAAUGCCGGGGUGGCCGUGCUGGAGGCCCCUAAAGAUGGACAGGGACAACACGCCGACAGGGCCAAACGAUCUGUAGAACACUGUGACCUGGGGGCUUAUUACUACAGGAAAUACUUCUAUCUGAGAGAGCAUUGGAACUACCUGGGCGUAGAUGAGACUCUGGGUCCAGUAGCAGUGAGUCUGAGGAGAGAGAAACUAGAGGAACACAAGGAGCAUGGACAACAGUACAAUUACAGAGUCAUCUUCAGAACCAGCGAGCUCACCACCCUGCGUGGGUCCAUUCUGGAAGAUGCGGUGCCCUCCACCUCUAAGCAUGGCCUGGCUCGGGGUCUACCCCUCAAAGAGGUGCUAGAUUACCUGGUACCAGAGCUGACCGCCCACUGUCUCAGACUGGCACUUAACACACCUAAAGUCACAGAGCAGCUGAUGAAGCUGGACGAACAGGGGUUGAGUUUCCAGUUGAAGGUGGGGGUGAUGUACUGUGCGUCGGGACAGAGCAGUGAAGAGGAUAUGUAUAAUAAUGAUUCAGCAGGUCCUGCUCUGGAGGAGUUCCUACAGCUGCUGGGGGAGAGGGUCCGACUGAAGGGAUUCUCCAAGUACCGAGCCCAGCUGGACACUAAGACUGACUCCACAGGGACCCACUCCCUGUACACCACCUAUAAGGACUAUGAGGUGAUGUUCCAUGUGUCCACCAUGCUGCCCUACACACCCAACAACAAACAACAGCUCCUGAGGAAGCGUCACAUAGGAAAUGACAUAGUGACCAUCGUAUUCCAGGAGCCUGGGGCUCAACCCUUCACCCCCAAGAACAUACGCUCUCACUUCCAACACGUGUUCGUAGUGGUGAGAGCACAUCAACCCUGCUCUGACAACACCACCUACAGUGUGGCAGUCACUCGUUCUCGUGACGUCCCGUCCUUCGGCCCUCCCAUCCCAGAGGGCGUGUCCUUCCCCAAGUCCUCCGUGUUCCGGGACUUCCUUUUGGCCAAGGUCAUCAACGCAGAGAACGCCGCCCACAAAUCACACAAGUUCCGCGCCAUGGCGACGCGGACACGUCAGGAGUACCUCAGAGAACUGGCGGAGCGCAACACCACGUCGACCCCCAUCGACCCGUCCGGGAAAUUCCCCUUCAUCUCAUUGGCUCACAAGAAAAAGGAGAAGAGUCGUCCGUACGCGGGGGCGGAGCUUCGGAGCCUCGGCGCCAUCACGUGGGCGGUCCACGCCGAGGAUCAUGGAGCAGGAGGAGAGCUCGAAGCACUAUUGGCUAUCUCCAACGACUUCCUCAUCCUAUUGGAUCAGGAGGCCAAGGCCGUGGUGUUUAACUGUGCUACUAAGGACGUGAUUGGCUGGACGCUGGGGAGUCCCGCCUCCAUGAGGAUCUUCUAUGAGAGAGGGGAGAGUGUGUCUCUGAGGUCUGUUAGUAACAACACAGAGGACUUCAGAGAGGUGGUGAAACGACUGGAGUACCUGACUAAGGGUUGUGAGACGUCUGAGAUGACACUACGUCGUAACGGGCUGGGCCAGCUGGGGUUCCAUGUCAACUACGAGGGCAUCGUGGCAGAGGUGGAAUCGUACGGGUACGCCUGGCAGGCCGGGCUGAGGCAGGGCAGCCGAUUGGUUGAAAUCUGCAAGGUUGCCGUGGCGACUCUGACCCACGAGCAGAUGAUAGACCUGCUGAGGACGUCGGUCACCGUCAGGGUGGUCAUCAUACCCCCGCACGAAGACGCUACGCCGCGCAGAGGUUGCUCUGAGCUUUACCGUACCCCAGUGGUUGAGUAUAAGAGCAGUGGUGAGAGUGGUUCUUUUGACUACAAGUUCCCGUUCCGCAGCAAAGACAACAAGUGGCAGAGAACCUCCAGUAGCCCCCAGCAGUCCCUGACGGCCUCCCCCCAGCCGCACACCCCCAACCGGGCCGUCAGCCUGGGGAGCUCUGGGGGGAAGACCCUGUCUGCUGAACGCCCAGAGAGAAACGCUGCUAUCCCACGCAGUGUUAGUAGUGAUGGACGGCCACUGGAUACCAAGAGAAUGUCUCCAGGCAGUGAGAACUAUGCUCUGGUCUCCUCUCUGGCACUGGGCCGUUCUCCUCACAACCGCUCUUCCCUGUCCAACCUCUCCUGCUCCAGUGACACCUCGCAGCACUGGAGGACUCAGAAGUCCAUGCCUGAGGGGUUUGGAGAACACAGACAACACUCCCCUCUAUCAACAGAGCGACAGGUGGUAGGAGAAGGCGGGGCUAGUGGCAAGUCCACACCUAAUUGGCCGAGAGUGGAGGAAGGGGGCGGGCCCGACAGAGGUUCUACAGAUGGUCCUGUGUCUAAGUCUGGUCCUGGGUACUCCGGAGCUCCACGCAUCCAGAGGCAGGAGCAGGUCAUCCACCACUCCCCCAAGAAGAGCUCCCAGCCUGAGGGUCCUUCCCCCUCCCAGCCUGAGGGUCCCUACUCCAGCAGUAACACCCUGUCCAGCACGGCCUCGAGCGGGGGCCACAGCGACAACGACAAGUGGUUCGACCUGGGGGGCCCCAGGGGACCAGGGGAGGCCCCUGCCUCUGAACCCAACGGCCUGGGAGGGGGGUACCUCCAAGGGGCCUCGGCCGACAGCGGGAUAGACACCUCAUCCUACGCAGGAGGGGGUGGGGGCCAUUCACACCCCCACCAGGAGAGUUCUACUUCCCUCUUGGCUCCUGGGGGUAGAGAGGGGAGGGAUAGAGCUCCAUCCCCCUGGCAUAGCCCCACUGAGGGGUGCAGGAGGGUCCUGGAGAGGUCCUCCCCGGCAGCAGAGAGCUCACAACCCCCAGGAGAGAGAGGAGAAGGGACGGCUAGGACUCCUCCUACACGCCUACUGGUUAGAGAUGGCAGCUCGUACAGUCUGAGUGAUGCAGGAUCGCACUCCAGUUCCAGAGGCCACUCCCCCCAUGAGGACUCGUCUUCCUCGGCCACCUCCCCUUGCUCCCAGGCGUCGGUCUCUCCCGCCCCCAAGACCUUCUACCCCCGUCAGGGAGCCACCUCCAAGUACCUCAUCGGCUGGAGGAAGCCAGGAUCCACCAUCAACUCUGUCGACUUCGGAGAUAACCGCAAGAAGUCUCCAGGGGAGGGAGGAGGAGAGGGGAGUGGCAGCGGAGGACGAGGGGGUCAUAGCAGGCCCCAUCAUGCCCUCCAACCACACCUCACCCACGCUAAGACCACCGUGGAGGACGAUAUGAAGAGACUGAGUCCAGACAGCCCUCCCAAACACAGACGACACAAGGUCAAGGACAAGUCCUCAUCCUCAGGCCAGCCCCCUACCCGUCGGUCUCUCCACCGCACCCUGUCUGAUGAGAGUAUCUACCGGGGCCAGCGUGUCCCCUCUCUGAGGCUGGGGGACCUAGAACCAGACCCCACCCUGGGUAGUGACGUGUUGUUCAGCUGCUCCACGUUGCCACGCUCUCCCACCACCCGCGGGGUGCCCCUCAGACGACCGUCGUACAAACUGGGGAUCAAACUACACGGUGACCUGUCUGCGUCUGACACGUCAUUGGCUGAGAUGGUUGAGCGACAGCGCCACCCCCUUCCCCAGGAGCUGAUGCCCCUCCCCCCCUCUGAGAGCAGGGACAGCCCUCUGGACUGGACCCACCUGGUGGAUGUGGCCAACACCUUCGAAAUCCAGAGAGGGUUUGUGUUCAGUGAUUCUAACCACAGAGGUAGUGGAGCCUCCAGCCCUCACCAGUCACAGCCCAACCUGGACCUACAGCCUGCCCCUCUAUCCAGACCUUCAUCCAGGUAACCCUCACCACACAGCCCAGCCUGCCCCUCUAUCCAGACCUUCAUCCAGGUAACCCUCACCACACAGCCCAGCCUGCCCCUCUAUCCAGACCUUCAUCCAGGUAACCCUCACCACAGCCCAGCCUGCCCCUCUAUCCAGACCUUCAUCCAGGUAACCCUCACCACACAGCCCAACCUGCCCCUCUAUCCAGACCUUCAUCCAGGUAACCCUCACCACACAGCCCAGCCUGCCCCUCUAUCCAGACCUUCAUCCAGGUAACCCUCACCACACAGCCCAACCUGCCCCUCUAUCCAGACCUUCAUCCAGGUAACCCUCACCACACAGCCCAGCCUGCCCCUCUAUCCAGACCAUCAUCCAGGUAACCCUCACCACACAGCCCAACCUGCCCCUCUAUCCAGACCUUCAUCCAGGUAACCCUCACCACACAGCCCAACCUGCCCCUCUAUCCAGACCUUCAUCCAGGUAACCCUCACCACACAGCCCAACCUGCCCCUCUAUCCAGACCUUCAUCCAGGUAACCCUCACCACACAGCCCAGCCUGCCCCUCUGUCCAGACCUUCAUCCAGGUAACCCUCACCACACAGCCCAGCCUGCCCCUCUAUCCAGACCUUCAUCCAGGUAACCCUCACCACACAGCCCAGCCUGCCCCUCUAUCCAGACCUUCAUCCAGGUAACCCUCACCACACAGCCCAGCCUGCCCCUCUAUCCAGACCUUCAUCCAGGUAACCCUCACCACACAGCCCAGCCUGCCCCUCUAUCCAGACCUUCAUCCAGUGAGGGUCCAGCAGGUCUGGAGAGGAAUGUGACCAAGCUGGAAGCCGUGGUCAAGAUGCUACAGGAUGACCUGAAGAAGGAGCGUGAGGAGAAGCAGCGUCUCCAUCUGCAGAUCAAAAGGCUCUGGGAAGAUAACCAGAGGCUGCAGGAAGAGUCCCAGAGCUCUGCUGCCAAACUCAAAAAGUUUACAGAGUGGGUCUUCAACACCAUCGACAUGAACUGAGACAGACAGACAGGGGGAUUAUGAGGAGGAGGGUUCUACCACAUUGACCAGAAGAGGAGGGGGAGGAAAAGGAGAAGAGUAACUGGAAAGAGAGAGGACCAGUACCAACCCCAAAAACAUUCCCCUUCUCCCUUGCACAAACUGAAGUACUGAUUCCACCCUCCAUGCCUCUUCCUUGUCCCCGGAAAUCUUUUUCACUCUCUGAAGUGCUAACUAAGGUUUCCUCUCUCAACCUCCCACUGAAACUCAGGAUUAGCUGUAGAAGGACAGUCUUCUUUUAUUAAAUAAUCAAGGAUUUCUUUCAUACUAUGGGAUUUGAAGGGGAGCUGUGUGUUUAAUUGUGACGGGCUCUCGGUACUGCCAGGAAAUACUGGAGCUCUGUCCUCCUCCUCUCCUCCUCUCACUGAGCUGACUUCACUCUGGGGGUGGUAGGAAGACAUAAAGAGAGACUUGUGUUUUACCCCAAUAUCCAGCCUCUCACUGGCUGUACAGUACAUCUCUUCAGCUAAGGCCUCAAAGCACAUACGAGCACAGCGUAACUGUAACUGCCCCAUGUGGAAUCUCAUCUCUUCUCCCUGUCUCCACUCUUCCUCCUCUGCACAUUUGACUUGUCUGAUGCUCCCUCUGUCUACACUACCCCAACAAACAGGUAGACAGAUGGACGGAGGGAAGAGGCAGACAGGUAGACAGGCAGGCAGACAGGCAGACAGGCAGGCAGACAGGUAGGUAGAUAGACAGCGGGAGGGAAAAGACAGAAAGCCAGCCAGCCCUGUGUUGCCAGCUGUUUUUUCCUGUGCAUUCAUAUUCCUCAAUCUACAGGGAACACACCGAUCUGUAUGUAUUUCUGUCGGAACAAAAACCUAGAGAGAAUGGACACCCGUCCGUAUCUCUCCUGUACAUAUUAACUAGCUAUCUGUGGUUUACUGUAUAUUCUGCAUUCAGACCAUCAACGCAUUGUACCUGUACCGGUUUGGACUGGGGCAUUGAGAGGUACAUGGAGUCCACUGUCAUUAGGCCAGGCUACAUCUGAAGAAGAACUUAACAAGAGUCUGUGUUUUUUUUGGUUUUGGUUGAAAGCCAUUCCUCUAUACUUCUCCCGUAGUGCCCCUUACUAGUCUGGUUGGCCUGUAGUGUGUCACAACCAAGCCUAUAUAGCUGACAUACACAAGGCUACCAUACACACACUCUUACACCACAACCAUGUCUCCACUGAAACUUCUGCCAUUUUGAAUCCUACAACUAAUUACAGAUGCUUGUGACACUUUGACCAAACCUGACAGCAAAACUUAAUUCCAGGACCGCUUCAAAACAACAACAAAAAGCCAUCAUUAUCAAGGACUCCAUGAUCACAUGACAUGGCUGAAAUCAGGAGCAUGUUGGUGAUUAGGACUGUGGGUCUUAAAAGCAGUAGCAAGGAGUACAACCAAACAGUGGAAAGAUCUGAAGUCAAACAUGGGACCGUAAGGUUUGAGACAGCCAUCUUAAAGGAAAAUUCCACCCAAAAUGCAGCUUCAUAAAAUGCAUCAUAACGGCUGUAUUUCUUUAUUUAGCAACAUUUCUACAUCUUGGAAAACUUGAUUGCUGACAUGCAAAACAUUUUGGGACUAUAUCAACAGUGGACUAAUGGACCAAAUACCACAGGAGUUUUUUUGGGUGGAGUUUUCCUUUAACUUUUAUAUAAGCAAUGGGACGUAUUCUGCCUUUGGUAACUAUGUGCUGAAGAGAAGGAAAGAAAGGCAGAUGUUUUCUCUCCUCUUCUCCUUCACCUCACCAUCUCAAGGAAUGUUAAUUCUGUUAACUUUUAAAACUCUGAUCGACAAAUCAUUUUAAUCGGGGGGCAUUUUCGGAUGUAUUUAUGUCUUUGUAUAUUAUAAAAUGAAUAAAUAAGUUGUUUUUGUUGCGUACAGUGCAACUGAA